rnacentral:rRNA from 1 species
UUUCUAUCCUCAAAUUUUAUGGCCUAUUUUUAGUACGAAAGGAUUAAGAUAGGGGGAAGCUCUUACAAUGAAGAAUCAAAAUAAACUUUCAAAAGUGAU